rnacentral:rRNA from 1 species
AACGAACGCUGGCGGCAGGCUUAACACAUGCAAGUCGAGCGCCCCGCAAGGGGAGCGGCAGACGGGUGAGUAACGCGUGGGAACGUACCUUUUGGUUCGGAACAACUCCGGGAAACUGGAGCUAAUACCGGAUAAGCCCUAACGGGGAAAGAUUUAUCGCCGAAAGAUCGGCCCGCGUCUGAUUAGCUAGUUGGUGAGGUAACGGCUCACCAAGGCGACGAUCAGUAGCUGGUCUGAGAGGAUGAUCAGCCACACUGGGACUGAGACACGGCCCAGACUCCUACGGGAGGCAGCAGUGGGGAAUAUUGGACAAUGGGCGCAAGCCUGAUCCAGCCAUGCCGCGUGAGUGAUGAAGGCCUUAGGGUUGUAAAGCUCUUUUGUCCGGGAAGAUAAUGACUGUACCAGAAGAAUAAGCCCCGGCUAACUUCGUG